GACCGGAUGAUACACUUCACACCUGCGUCCAAACAGCUGCCCUACUCCUUGGGCAGGACGCCCGGCCCUCUCUUUUCGCACAGGAACCGCCGCAUAAAAGGACAAGUGCGUAAGACGACAGGCAGGCCAAGAGUUCAGCUCCACCACCUCGUCUUCGACUCCGGGGACACGGGGGUCUCUUGCAGCGUCUUAUAUCUAUCUUCACCAAUAAACCAGCAAGCUAAGACCCGCUCAGGACCAUCUCUCUCUCGCUUACAAUAUAUAUAUAUAUAUAUAUAUAUAUAUAUAUAUAUAUAUAUAUAUAUAUAUAUAUAUAUAUAUAUAUAUAUAUAUAUAUAUAUAUAUAUAUAUAUAUAUAUAUAUAUAUAUAUAUAUAUAUAUAUAUAUAUGAAAGGGUAAGGAGUUAAAGAGAAAUGAUGUCAAACGGCAGUUGGGAAUCAUUAGCCUAUGUGAAGCAUAGCGACUGCUAGGAGUGAAUGAGUAAGUAUGCUAGUCGAAGUGUGAAUGAAGCCCCAUGAAGCAGUGACGCAUGUACUUAAGUACGUGUGCAUUCAAAUGAAAUAGAAAAAGAGAAAAAAGUAAAAGAAAUUUAGGAAUAGAAACUAAAUGGAAAUGUGACCAAACUAAUACAUGCAACUAUGUGAAGUAUAAAACAAAAGAAAAGGAAACAAAAUAGAUAAAACAACAUAUUAAAAUAAAAUAUUAUCGAAUGGCAAGGGGAAUCUCCCAGUGUGACAUCCAGAUCACACUCAGACAGCUGCCCAGACAAGACAGUCAACCGAGGGGGUAACAACCACUAGCGUAUUUUAAACAUCCUCGGAUUUCCGUUGUGGAGUGGAUAAGUGCUGUGUAGCACUUAUGUACGAAAAGCGCACUCGUAAGGCGUGAGGCGUAUGGCAGAAGGAGCGAGUCUACGAAGCCAUAGGUGUGAGAAGAGAUGCGCAAGGAGAUGGAGAAGAAAAGUAAGGAAAAGUGAGAACGCAGCUAUAAACACCCGUUACGUGAGAUGGAGAAAAAUGUUAACAUUACCAGCGAUUAUUAGUCACAAAAUGCACUGAGCAAGGCCCCCUAGCUCAGUGCAUUUUGUGACCAAUUAAAACGAUGGAUUUAUAUUGCAUGAAUUAUUUUGCUGCUUUAUAUUUUCUUCUAUUUUUCAUAUUUCAAUCUUUAUCAUUCAUUUUUUAUAUUUUGUGUGCACGAAUUUGAAUAAUAAUCUGGAUAGAAA